CAGUGAAACCCGCUGAGGACAGAGCCUCCAGGGAGGAAACUCUGGGGCCAUGGCUCUAAACCACAGCAGGGACAGACUUAAAGCUGGCCCAGGAGGGGCUGAGAACUGAGCUCAGAGACAGGGCUGCAGACGUUACCAACAACACCGGGAUCAAGCUCUGUUGGACCUUGUUUGUUGGUGCAUGUUGACUGUGUGUUACUUGGCUGGAGGGCUGAGCCACUGAAGACUCGCCUGAUGAGGGAAUUGCCAAUGGGGGGGGGGGCACCAUGAGCAGAGAGAGUGAAGGUUCACACACACCUGCCAGGAAGAGCUCAGGAGGGAGCCCCCAACUCCCAGGGAGCCCUGGCUGGUGGGAUUUGCCCAAACAGGAGAAUCCAACCUCACAGAGCUCCAGUGGGCUAGAGAACAGGCAGGAAAUCCCACUCAUGCUUCCUGCUGUGAGCUCUCCUGCAAGGAACUGCAGUUGCAUGGGCUGCCGAGGUCACACCUGUGCAGUGGCAGCUGCUGCUGAAGGGUGCUAGCAGGUCAGGCGUCCAAGCUCUGGGCUGUGGCCUGAGUUGAGGGAACAGCCUGAGUAUGGGGCCCUGAUGAGCCUGAACCACAGUGACUGUGAGGAUCAGACAGAAAGAGGCCCCACCUCUGACUGUGGGUCUAAUUGGCGCUGAUGGACGUGACUGUUGCUGAUCAUAGUGGUGGGGUGAUUUCUGGGUGAAUCCCUGCCUACCCAAGGGCAACAAGGAGGGGUCUCCAUCCCAAGGCCAGGGGUGAGAGUUUGGAACUAACUACCACCAAGGGGAGCCCCCACCACACAUCUCUUUUGGCUUCAACCUGCUGCUCUUGAUCCAGUUGCUGAUGGUGUCGCUUGCAUCUGAUGGGCAGGUGCUGUGGAGCUGAGUGUCCCCUCCAUGUCUUCUCGCAAUCUCCCCUGGUGGCUCCAUAUGGAGACUGUAGCAGUCUUGGUAGGAGGAUGAAUCUCUGUGGGACUCUACAGGCAGGAGCUCUGGAAGAGGAGAAGCAGGUGCUCAUCUCCCUGGGUUGGGUCUGACAGCAACAGCUGAACCCAUCUCAUCUAGCACUUGUUCCAUUUCUGAGGAGGAAUGGCAGGAGUCCAUGGUCAGAUGUGUCAGAUCCAGGGGAGAGAUCCAGUCAUGAGCAUGGACAUACAACCCUUGUCCAUGGCCACAAGGAGUUCCCCCAUCGGGGCCAAGAGCAUUAUCGCUGUUCCCACCCUGGCCUGAAGCCUGACUGAAAGGGGUUCAGGAUUCUGAUACCACCUUGGUGGAGCUGGAUGUGACCUGGGAGCGAUUCUCAGCUGCCUUGCUCAGGAAUGGGAGGAUGAAUACUGGAUGAUUGGAGAUCGGUUGUGGUGAGCAAUGAUAUCUUCCCAGCUACAGCCUCUGAGAAAAACAAGGACAGAAGGGUGACGUCUCCCUCUCUCUCCUAGCUCUGUACCAUCCUGCUCCCCUCAACAUGCCUGAUUUGUGCAUUCUCAUGUGGUCCAACUCCCAUUGUUGGUUGCAGCUCGGUAUCCUGGUUUCAGGUUAGUAGGGAAGCUUGCUUUCUUGCUGUCUCUGCCUAGAGACCCUCAGUCUCCACAGGUGUUGGGCUGGCAUGUUUAAUUGGCACUAAAGUUCUACCAAACUUUUUUUUUUCAGUCCAAAA